UAAAAUAGUGAAAAUGGCCGGCAAAAACCGAUAUUGUGAAAUAUGCGGUGUCAGAGAAAUCACUCGAGGAGGAUUCUUUGCCAGAUUUCCCAAGGAUGAACAGCGGUGUAAAACUUGGCUUAGACAAGUUGGAAAAGAAGAUCUUGUUCAUUUACCCGUGGAAAAGUUGCAUCAGAUUCGUCAUGUUUGUGGCGAUCAUUUUGAACGGAGAGACUUUGGCAAGUCAGGAAAUAAGCUAAAAA